ACUCGGAUAGCUUAAAUUAAAGCAUAGUAUUGAAGAUACUAGUAUAAGGUUAUCUUUUCGGGUA
rnacentral:tRNA from 1 species